rnacentral:rRNA from 1 species
AACUUCUGAAUGUUGACCUCGGAUCAGGUAGGAAUACCCGCUGAACUUAAGCAUAUCAAUAAGCGGAGGAAAAGAAACCAACAGGGAUUGCCCUAGUAACGGCGAGUGAAGCGGCAACAGCUCAAAUUUGAAAUCUGGCUCUCGGGCCCGAGUUGUAAUUUGUAGAGGAUGCUUUUGAUGCGGUGCCUUCCGAGUUCCCUGGAACGGGACGCCAUAGAGGGUGAGAGCCCCGUCUGGUUGGAUGCCAAAUCUCUGUAAAGCUCCUUCGACGAGUCGAGUAGUUUGGGAAUGCUGCUCUAAAUGGGAGGUAUAUGUCUUCUAAAGCUAAAUACCGGCCAGAGACCGAUAGCGCACAAGUAGAGUGAUCGAAAGAUGAAAAGCACUUUGAAAAGAGAGUUAAAAAGUACGUGAAAUUGUUGAAAGGGAAGCGUUUAUGACCAGACUUGGGCUUGGUUAAUCAUCUGGGGUUCUCCCCAGUGCACUUUUCCAGUCCAGGCCAGCAUCAGUUUUCGCCGGGGGAUAAAGGCUUCGGGAAUGUGGCUCCCUCCGGGGAGUGUUAUAGCCCGUUGCGUAAUACCCUGGCGGGGACUGAGGUUCGCGCUUCUGCAAGGAUGCUGGCGUAAUGGUCAUCAACGACCCGUCU